UGACGUCACAGACUGAGGACGUCAACAAACUCGAACUUCUCGCGUCCGGACGAGUGACCGAGGCCCGCGGGAAGAUCUUCGGUUUUGUCAGAACCGAUUCGAGAUGUCGGAAACUUCACUAUUAACAAACCUGGUCGACUCCUGGUUCGGGAGCCUCACCAUCAACCUGCUGUGUUACUCGACAGUCUUCAUUCCAGGGUACUUCCUCCUGCAGUAUUUCAAGAAUUCAAAGUAUAUUGAAAGAGCGGAAUAUGAGAAUGGCUUGAACAACACAGCACAUAAUGACAGUGAGAGUUCUUCAACCCGCAUUGUGCUUCCGAGCUUCCCAGGCACUGGUCUCGUUUCCAAGUUAAUCACCUCCUGUGUGUACGGCCACAGCUAUGACAAGAUUGUCACAGACCCGGCAGGUGCCCCCAAGGGAGCCCAUGGCGAGAAAUCCAUGGGCUCCAGCUUCGUCCAGCUCAUGUUCUGCUUCGUGGGACUGCAGCUGUCGUACCUCACGUGGGGGGUCCUGCAAGAGAAGAUUAUGACGAAGGAAUACCAAAACUCAGAUGGCAGCAUAGGUCACUUCAAGGACUCUCAGUUUCUUGUAUUUGUCAAUCGAAUCUUGGCCUUCAUGCUCGCAGCUUCAUACUUGAGCUUGACAAGGCAGCCUCGCCACACUGCACCUAUAUACAAGUAUUCAUAUUGUUCCUUCUCUAAUAUCAUGAGUUCUUGGUGCCAGUAUGAAGCCCUGAAAUAUGUCAGCUUUCCUACUCAGGUUUUGGCGAAGGCUUCAAAGAUCAUUCCAACCAUGAUCAUGGGCAAGAUUGUCAGCAGCAAAAAGUAUGAUUAUUAUGAGUACUGCACAGCUUUCCUCAUCUCCGUGGGCAUGACGAUGUUCCUGAUGGGCUCAACGGAAGCCAGUACGAAAACAAACAGCACAACCACCAUGUCGGGAGUGAUCAUCCUGGUGGGGUAUAUGUCGUUUGAUGCCUUCACGUCCAACUGGCAGGGAGAGCUCUUCACACAGCACAAGAUGUCCUCUGUUCAGAUGAUGUGUGGUGUCAACUUCUUCUCUUGCCUCCUGACGACGACCUCCCUCCUUCAGCAAGGUGGCUUUGGGGUCUCGUUAGCAUUCAUGUUCACUUACCCAGUGUUCUUUUGGGACUGCCUCAUUCUCUCGGUAUGCUCUGCCACAGGCCAGCUUUUUAUCUACCAUACCAUAUCUACCUUUGGUCCUGUGGUCUUCAUCAUCAUCAUGACUAUUCGUCAGGGAUUGGCAAUCCUCCUCUCGUGCAUCUUGUACUCCCACCCAGUGACUAUCCUGGGUGUCCUGGGCAUCAUGCUGGUAUUUGCUGCCCUGUUCCUCCGCGUAUAUUGCAGCUACCGAAUGAAGCAGCUGCAGCAGAGAAAAUCAGCUGGAGAAACGUCAAAGGUUUAGGUUUGAAGCCAAGUCUCCACCUCGAAAGCCUCUUCUGUGUCUCAGUGAACCUCUCCUCAUGCCUCUGUUGACGCCUUUUGAAGGGAUCUAUCAAGUUGAAGAAAAUAUAAGUUUUGUUUUAAAGAAUAAUGAAUAAUAAUCAUGCAAGAUAUUCAAGUUUUGAAUCACAAGACCUACUUAUUCAAGAAAAGAGAAGAUUUUCACGUUCAGAAGAUUGCAAAAUAAGAUAAUAAUUACAUGGGUGUUUGUGUGUAUGUGUGUGCGUGCGUGUGUCUGCGUGCAUACAUAUUUAAAAUAAAGUAGAGAGUGGUUGAAAGUCAAGUUUUUUUUUUUUUUUUUUUUUUGUUAUUGUUGCUUCUAUUUUCUUUUUCUUUAACCCCUUCCUGAUGGGUUACGCUGUGAGGCGUCAAAACAAACCGCUCGAUCUCUGGUGUGCCGCUGUACGCUGCAGCGGCGCGCCAAAGCGCUACGAGCCAGUGAUUUGGCUUGAUGUACCGAACUCCUGCGCUCAAAGCUGGUGCGUUGCUAUUGAUCUCCAGAGCGUAGAGUUUUUUUUUUCUUAUAGUUUUCGUCAGCCGUCAUCAAGGGGUUAAGAAGGAAAAGAUUGGUGUCAGAUUUACGAUUCAUUCAUCUAGAUUUGUUACUUGAAAAGACGAACAUCAUUAUUAUUUUUUAAGCUGAAGAAUUUUUCAAAAAGCCAUUCUUUAAAAAGCUACCUUCCAAGAAUGGUUAAUGCUCUAGCAAAUAUUAAUAAUAUGAAAAGGAACUGAUAUAAUAGCACUGCACUGUAUUCUAUAACAGGUAUUAUUAGUGAUUAAUAUAUGUAAUCUAAUCUUUCAUCAAGAUAUCAAAUUCAGUUGGUUUUCCUUUUUAAAAAAGGAAUCUUAAAUAUUAUUCACUUUUUCAUGACAAAUUGAUAAAAUUUUUGACAUUUGUGAUUGCCUAUACAAAUUAUUAAUUAUUAUUAUUCCUUAGAAGUGCACAAUAAUGAUGAAUGAAAUAGGUAUGAACACAAUGAAAUGUUUGAAAAUAUUGUACAGUAGUAAUUAGGUUAUAAUUAUUUUAAUAUAUUUUGAUUGGUGGUGGUUAUAUUUUAUAUAUUGUUUCAAAGAGUGAAAAAAAAUAUAUUUUAUUCUCUCCUUUUUUUGGUAAAUGUUACCAAAAAGCCAUCAAGAUUGUGAUUGCAACAAAUAAAUAUUUGUGUAUGAAA